rnacentral:rRNA from 1 species
GUAGGUGAACCUGCGCAAGGUUCAUUACCGAGUUGAUUCGGGCUCCGGCCCGAUCCUCCCACCCUUUGUGUACCUACCUCUGUUGCUUUGGCGGGCCGCGGUUCUCCGCGGCCGCCCCCCUCCCCGGGGGGUGGCCAGCGCCCGCCAGAGGACCAUCAAACUCCAGUCAGUAAACGAUGCAGUCUGAAAAACAUUUAAUAAACUAAAACUUUCAACAACGGAUCUCUUGGUUCUGGCAUCGAUGAAGAACGCAGCGAAAUGCGAUAAGUAAUGUGAAUUGCAGAAUUCAGUGAAUCAUCGAAUCUUUGAACGCACAUUGCGCCCUUUGGUAUUCCGAAGGGCAUGCCUGUUCGAGCGUCAUUACAACCCUCAAGCUCUGCUUGGUAUUGGGCACCGUCCUUUGCGGGCGCGCCUCAAAGACCUCGGCGGUGGCGUCUUGCCUCAAGCGUAGUAGAACAUACAUCUCGCUUCGGAGCGCAGGGCGUCGCCCGCCGGACGAACCUUCUGAACUUUUCUCAAGGUUGACCUCGGAUCAGGUAGGGAUACCCGCUGAACUUAAGCAUAUCAAUAAGCGGAGGA